CCUACGGGUGGCAGCAGUGGGGAAUAUUGGGCAAUGGGCGCAAGCCUGACCCAGCAACGCCGCGUGAAGGAAGAAGGCUUUCGGGUUGUAAACUUCUUUUCUCAGGGACGAAGCAUGUGACGGUACCUGAGGAAUAAGCCACGGCUAACUACGUGCCAGCAGCCGCGGUAAUACGUAGGUGGCAAGCGUUAUCCGGAUUUACUGGGUGUAAAGGGCGUUUAGGCGGGAACGCAAGUCAGAUGUGAAAACCAUGGGCUCAACCUGUGGACUGCAUUUGACACUGUUUUUCUUGAGUACUGGAGAGGCAGACGGAAUUCCUAGUGUAGCGGGGAAAUGCGUAGAGAUUAGGAGGAACACCAGUGGCGAAGGCGGUCUGCUGGACAGCAACUGACGCUGAGGCGCGAAAGCGUGGGGAGCAAACAGGAUUAGAUACCCGGGUAGUC
rnacentral:rRNA from 1 species